rnacentral:rRNA from 1 species
GGGAACUGCGUUNUGAACUGGGUGACUAGAGUGUGUCAGAGGGAGGUAGAAUUNCACGUGUAGCAGUGAAAUGCGUAGAGAUGUGGAGGAAUACCGAUGGCGAAGGCAGCCUCCUGGGAUAACACUGACGUUCAUGCCNGAAAGCGUGGGUAGCAAACAGGAUUAGAUACCCUGGUAGUNCACGCCCUAAACGAUGUCGAUUAGCUGUUGGGCAGCAUGACUGCUUAGUAGCGAAGCUAACGCGUGAAAUCGACCGCCUGGGGAGUACGGUCGCAAGAUUAAAACUCAAAGGAAUUGACGGGGACCCGCACAAGCGGUGGAUGAUGUGGAUUAAUUCGAUGCAACGCGAAGAACCUUACCUGGUCUUGACAUGUACGGAACCCUCCAGAGACGGAGGGGUGCCUUCGGGAGCCGUAACACAGGUGCUGCAUGGCUGUCGUCAGCUCGUGUCGUGAGAUGUUGGGUUAAGUCCCGCAACGAGCGCAACCCUUGUCAUUAGUUGCCAUCAUUAAGUUGGGCACUCUAAUGAGACUGCCGGUGACAAGCCGGAGGAAGGUGGGGAUGACGUCAAGUCCUCAUGGCCCUUAUGACCAGGGCUUCACACGUCAUACAAUGGUCGGUACAGAGGGUAGCCAAGCCGCGAGGUGGAGCCAAUCUCACAAAACCGAUCGUAGUCCGGAUUGCACUCUGCAACUCGAGUGCAUGAAGUCGGAAUCGCUAGUAAUCGCAGGUCAGCAUACUGCGGUGAAUACGUUCCCGGGUCUUGUACUCACCGCCCGUCACACCAUGGGAGUGGGGGAUACCAGAAGUAGG